rnacentral:rRNA from 1 species
AUUGAACGCUGGCGGCAGGCCUAACACAUGCAAGUCGAGCGAGCGGCGGACGGGGGAGUAAGGUAGGGGAACUGCCCGAUAGAGGGGGAUCACUACUGGAAACGGUAGCUAAUAACGCAUACUAGCGGCUAACCCAUAUGGGAUUAGCUAGUCGGUGAGGUAAUGGCCCACCUAGGCGCCGAUCCCUAGCUGGUCUGAGAGGAUGAUCAGCCACACUGGGACUGAGACACGGCCCAGACUCCUACGGAGGCAGCAGUGGGGAAUAUUGCGCAAUGGGCGAAAGCCUGAUGCAGCCAUGCCGCGUGUAUGAAGAAGGCCCUAGGGUUGUAAAGUACUUUCAGUCGGGAGGCGUUACCGACAGAAGAAGCACCGGCUAACUCCGUGCCAGCCGCCGCGGUAAUAC